AGCCCCUCACGCGGCGGCAUCUCGCCCAACUCCCCCAGGGCCGGAAGGCAGCAAGGGUAAGCGAGCUCUACCGGGUGCGUGAGGGGUCUUU
rnacentral:SRP_RNA from 1 species